rnacentral:rRNA from 1 species
GACGAACGCUGGCGGCGUGCUUAACACAUGCAAGUCGAGCGGUAAGGCCCUUUCGGGGGGUACACGAGCGGCGAACGGGUGAGUAACACGUGGGUGACCUGCCCUUAGCUCUGGGAUAAGCCUGGGAAACUGGGUCUAAUACCGGAUAUGACUCCAUGACGCAUGUUGUGGGGUGGAAAGCCUUGUGCGGCUAGGGAUGGGCCCGCGGCCUAUCAGCUUGUUGGUGGGGUGAUGGCCUACCAAGGCGACGACGGGUAGCCGGCCUGAGAGGGCGACCGGCCACACUGGGCCUGAGACACGGCCCAGACUCCUACGGGAGGCAGCAGUGGGGAAUCUUGCGCAAUGGGCGAAAGCCUGACGCAGCGACGCCGCGUGGGGA